rnacentral:sRNA from 1 species
GACCAGAGAAUAGGCCUGUCUCAGGCAGGUCCUGCGCCUCCUAUGCGGAGAUGCUACUGCCACUGCUGCUGUCCUCGCUGCUGGGCGGUGAGUGGGCCAAGGGCCGGAAAGGACCUGGGGCGGAGCUAGGGCUGGGGUUGCAGGUUGAGCCUCUGUCUCCCCACAGGGUCCCAGGCUAUGGAUGAGAGAUUCUGGAUACGAGUGCAGGAGUCGGUGAUGGUGCCGGAGGGCCUAUGCAUCUCUGUGCCCUGCUCUUUCUCCUACCCCCGACAGGACUGGACAGGGUCUACCCCAGCUUAUGGCUACUGGUUCAAAGCAGUGACUGAGACAACCAAGGGUGCUCCUGUGGCCACAAACCACCAGAGUCGAGAGGUGGAAAUGAGCACCCGGGGCCGAUUCCAGCUCACUGGGGAUCCCGCCAAGGGGAACUGCUCCUUGGUGAUCAGAGACGCGCAGAUGCAGGAUGAGUCACAGUACUUCUUUCGGGUGGAGAGAGGAAGCUAUGUGAGAUAUAAUUUCAUGAACAAUGGGUUCUUUCUAAAAGUAACAGGUAUGGAAUGGGGUGGGAACCCCUGCCUCUCACACUGGGGAGGGACCCUGGGGACAGGCUAUGGGCUGAGCAGAGAGGGCUCUCAGGGACCCCUGCAGCACAAGAAUUCCCCACCCCGGUCUCUGUCCCAGCCCUGACUCAGAAGCCUGAUGUCUACAU